CUGAGAGCAAAGCUGCAAUCAUCAACAAACAGGUCUCAACUGGGCCUCUACACUCAAGGAACGGGGGCUAAGAAGUCUGUGAGGUCAUUGACAAUGGAUUCCAGAAUUGGUGUGAGAACUACAGAUCCUGAGGUAUUUGAAGUAGACAUUUCAUUGUCAUUCCUUAUUAUUAUUGGCAGUUUCUGUGAAGUGUUAGAAAUGGAUGAAUCCAAGAAUACUGAAAAUCUGAAGAUCCAUAUUGCAAAAG
rnacentral:lncRNA from 1 species